AUUCCUAAUCCUAGUUAACACUCCAAUUAUCACUCCAAAACCCUAAUCCUAAAGUUUUAGGCGCCAACUAAUUAUGGCCCUUGGAUUGAUCCAGCCCUUUAUAUCAAACUUUGUGAAACGCGUGCAUAGUUCCAAUGUUUGCAUUGUUAAUUCCAAUGCUUUGGUUACCAAUGUAAUGCAUAUAGUAAAACAACAACCUCUCCAACCCACCCUCUUCAUCGUCGCUUUCUCUCCUCCCUCUCUUUUCCUCUUCCACAAAUUCUCACUCAAGCCUUUUAGCUCUGACCAUUUCCUCACAACCAAGCCUUUUAGCUCCGCCGCUGCUGUCUUUGAUUCCAACCCAACACUUUCUUCUUCCAAUUUUGGGUUUUCCCUUUUCAGCAUCAUCUUCAAUCUUAAUUCCUAUCAAUUGACUAUUCAAAUCAGAUCUCAAAGUUUCUGAGAAGAAAAGAGAAUACGCCUGCUAAUGUAAUUGGAUUACCGAUGAAUGACUUUCCUAUAAUCACGUUUUUCAGGUAAAAUCCUCUGUUUGGCUGCAUAGGAAGGAGCUGAGUAUAGUUUUGAUAUGCCUUAAAAAUCCUCCACUUUUACAAACUUGAAGGAUGAUUGGACCAUACAGUUUGUCGUCAAAUUAGAUCCACAUGUUAUGCAAGAGGAACUUUCAUUUAGUUCGGGUUGAAACUGUAAUAAGGACAGCCACAUGUGUCUCUAAUUAAAAUAGAAAAUGACGAGACUCUAAUAAGGACAACCACAUGCUUAUAAUUGAGGCACUCAACCCUCUAAAAGCCAACUUUUUACUAUACUUGAAGAAUUUGACAAGAGAUCUAACAAAACUUAUGUAGCAUUUUUCACCCAUCAUGUUUAUGAUCAAGGGAUGAUAUCUGAUCUUAUGGUAUUUUUACAAGUCAAAUUGAGACAUAUAUAUUGGAGUUUGCACAUUACUUACUGCAAGGUUUAGAACAACUAUGGUAUGAUAUUAGUGUGCCAAAGUGAAUCAGGAAGAGGCUAAUAUGCCAAUGUAACAUUUGUAAUAUUACCUAAUAUAUAAUAAUAAUUUAUUUUUCUCAGCAAAUUGGCAAGCAAACAUGUUCAAUUGGCAUCAACAUCCCUCCUUUGUUUAGGUCGAAAUCCUUUAAGGGUUACAUGUCAGCUCUCUUUCUUAUUAAUCAUUAUGGUUCACACUUCUCCUAUGCAUAAA